GCUGGGUAUGGUGGCACACACCUGUAAUCCCAGCAGCUCAGAAGGCUGAGGCAGGAGGAUCACUAGUUCAGUGCCAGCCUCAGCAACAAUGAGGUGCUAAACAAGUCAGUGAGACUCUGUUUCUA
rnacentral:sRNA from 1 species